AUACUUCUCUGGCAGGGGAGAUACCAUGAUCACUAAGGUGGUUUUCCCAGUGCGAGGCUCAUCCAUUGCACUCCGGGUGUGCUGACUCCUGUGACUUCCCCAAAUGUAGGAAGCUCGACUGCAUAAUUUCCGGUAGUGGUGGACGGCGUUCACACUCUCCCCUG